rnacentral:rRNA from 1 species
GAUGAACGCUGGCGGCGUGCCUAACACAUGCAAGUCGAGCGAACGGACGAGAAGCUUGCUUUCCUGAUGUUAGCGGCGGACGGGUGAGUAACACGUGGAUAACCUACCUAUAAGACUGGGAUAACUUCGGGAAACCGGAUCUAAUACCGGACAAUAUUUUGAACCGCAUGGUUCAAAAGUGAAAGACGGUCUUGCUGUCACUUAUAGAUGGUACCGCGCUGCAUUAGCUAGUUGGUAAGGUAACGGCUUACCAAGGCAACGAUGCAUAGCCGACCUGAGAGGGUGAUCGGCCACACUGGAACUGAGACACGGUCCAGACUCCUACGGGAGGCAGCAGUGGGGAAUCUUCCGCAAUGGGCGAAAGCCUGACGGAGCAACGCCGCGUGAGUGAUGAAGGUCUUCGGGUCGUAAAACUCUUUUAUUAGGGAAGAACAUCUGUGUGAGAAUCUGUGGACAUCUUGACGGUACCGAAACAAAAAGCAACGGCUAACUACGUG